AGAAGCAAUACCGCGAGGUGGAGCAAAACUUCAAAAAAUGGUCUCAGUUCGGACUGUAGGCUGCAACUCGCCUACACGAAGUUGGAAUUGCUAGUAAUCGUGGAUCAGCAUGCCACGGUGAAUACGUUCCCGGGUCUUGUACACACCGCCCGUCACACCAUGGGAGCUGGUAACACCCGAAGUCAGUAGUCUAACCGCAAGGAGGACGCUGCCGAAGGUGGGAUUAGCGACUGGGGUGAAGUCGUAACAAGGUAGC
rnacentral:rRNA from 1 species